rnacentral:rRNA from 1 species
GCAGGCUGCAACUCGCCUGCAUGAAGUCGGAAUUGCUAGUAAUCGCGGAUCAGCAUGCCGCGGUGAAUACGUUCCCGGCCUUGUACACACCGCCCGUCACACCAUGGGAGUCGGUAACACCCGAAGCCGAUAGUCUAACGAAAGAGGACGUCGUCGAAGGUGGGAUUGAUGACUGGGGUGAAGUCGUAACAAGGUAAC